GGUGUGCGAUAGACUUACCUCCAUGUGGUGCACACUGGGCAACGUAUGCUCAUACGGCAAAAAAGUCAAU
rnacentral:ribozyme from 1 species